CAGAGUGUUAGAUUCAGAGUGCAAGAGAAUGAGGCAGAGGGAUAGAAAGAGAUGCAACUUUUCUACAAGAAAGCUUGCCAGAAACUGACAAUGAGUUCUGAAGUUGUACACUUCUCCCUGUCCACUAGGUGACCGUUAAGAAGGGAACUGCUCCAUUACACAGGGGUGCAGAGAACUGGGCCAAUGGUAAUCCCAUCCCUAGAAUGUUGCCAAACAUAAAAUUAAAACACAUAUUCCUUUCUUUUUUAGGGGAACAAGAUGCAAAAACUUGCAUAUAAUAAAUAUAUGGGUAACCAUUGCUUCUGUAGAAAAGAUAAAAACAAAUGGAGACACAUAAGGGAACAGAAGCAACAGUCAAGUGGCUAAUGAUCUGGAUUAAUGCUUUAAUCCCAUACUCUUAGAAAAUAAUAAUAAGUUUGUGAAUCAAAUUUUAAGCAUGAUGCCAAAAUUAAACAUAAGGAAAAAUAUUAAUAUAGAUUUAAUGACAUAAAUAAUUCUGAAUGUUGAAAAUUAAAAACAACUUUAAAAGACAAAAGGCAUACUGGGGAAGACAUUUUUAAUACAUGGUAGACAAGGCUUAAUAUCUUUACCAAAAAAGUGCUUAUAAAAAUAAAUCAGACUAGACAAAUACAUUAAUAGGGAUGCACAAAUUUCACGAAUAAGCAGAGCACCAGGAAAAAUAAAAAAUGGCCAAGAAAUAUAUAGAAGAAAGAUGCCUAAUCUAAUAGUAAAAGAAAAUGAAAAAAAAGACAACCUUUUAUCAAAUAAAAUUGGAAAUGUUGAUAAAUUAUAACAUCUAAUAUUCUUGAGGAUUCAUGCAUGUAGUGUCAAUAAUCUUUUUUUUUUUUUUUUUUUUUUUUUUGAGACGGAGUUUCACUCUUGUUGCCCAGGCUGGAGUGCAAUGGCGCGAUCUUGGCUCACCACAACCUCUGCCUCCCAGUUUAGCUAUUUUUAGAGGAUCAAGUGAUUCUCCUGCCUCAGCCUCCCAAGUAGCUGGGAUUACAGACAUGCACCACCAUGCCCGGUUAAUUUUGUAUUUUUAGUAGAGACUGGGUUUCUCCAUGUUGGUCAGGCUGGUCUCAAACUCCCAACCUCAGGUGAUCCACCCGUCUUGGCCUCCCAAAGUGCUGGGAUUACAGGCAUGAGCACCGUGCCUGGCUUUUUUUUUUUUUUUUUUUUUGAGAUAGGGUCUUCCUCUGUUGCCUGGGCUGGUGUGCAGUGGUGCAAUCGUCACUCACUACAGCCUUGACCUCCUGGGCUCAAGUGAUCCUCCUGCCUCAGCCUCCCGAGUAGCUAGGACUACAGGUGCAUGUCAUCAUAUCCAGUUAAUUUUUUAAAAAAUUUUUUUAGAGGUGGGGUCUCUGUAUAUUGCCUAGGCUGGUCUUGAACUCCUGGGUUCAAGGGAUCCUCCUACCUCAACCUCCCAAAGUGCUGAGUAAGAUUAUAAAUGUGAGCCACUGCGCCCGGCAUAAUGUUUGAUCUAGUAUUCCAAAUCUUUAAAUUUGUGCAUAUCCUUUGACAUAGAAAUUCCUCUUGUAGGAAUUAAUUCCAAAGAAAAAAAUCAUAAAUAUGUACAAAUUUUUCCUGAGAAGGAUGUUUUUGCAUUUUAAGCACAACACUGAAAAGGAAGGAAUCACCUAAAUAUUAAAAUUGGUUAAAUAAAUUUUGGUAUAAAUAUAUUAUGCAAUCAUCAAUCAUUGUAUUGAGGAAGCAUAUUUAAUAGCAAAGGAAGAGAAUCACUCUUUACUGUGAAAACUGAAAAUGCAUGUUACAAAAAUGAUAUUAUAAUCUUAUUUAGUUUUCACGCAAAUAUAUACCAAAAAAACCCAACACUAUUCAAAGGACAGACAUCAAAUGUUCAUGAUGAUUAUCUGUCUAGAGUGAAACUGAGU
rnacentral:lncRNA from 1 species